UUGAUCAAUCAUAUAAUACAUUAUACUCCCUCUGUUCCUUUUUGUUUGAUUGUUUAGAAAAAAUACACAUAUUAAGAAAACAUAUUAAAUGUUGAUUAUAAAUGUAUUAUUUUCAGUGUUUUACAAUUUUCUAUACCUCUAAACCAAUGAUAAUUAACUAUUUUUCUUGAAAAAUUACAAUUCACCAAUACUAACCAAUAAAUAUUACAUGGAAAACUUCAAAAAUCAAUCUUUUAGAAACAAAUUUUUUUUCUAAACAAUCAAACAAAAAGGAAUAGAGGGAGUAGUUUUUAUUGGUUGCAUUCAUUCUAUUUAAUGAUAUUUUUAUAAAAAAAGAGAAAAA
rnacentral:sRNA from 1 species